AAGGAGACAUUGCUUGAACGGUAAACUACCGGAUUAACCGGUAAACAACCGGGAAAGCCAGUCUCGAAAGACAAGUCGAAGCCUGGCAUCCUCUUCGGUUUAAACACCUUGGGUAAUAAACCCGGCUGUUUGAGAAUUCCAGAGCAAGCACGAGUAUCUAUAA
rnacentral:misc_RNA from 1 species